rfam:Pseudomonas fluorescens Pf-5, complete genome.
CUGUAGCCAGGACAGCCCUCGGGAAUGCCUGGACGUCGAUAGCCGGAUAGUGCGACGUACGGAAUCAACGCCGGCAGCC